AUCCGAUUGACGAGUCCCGAAUAGGACGAAACGCGCGUCCUGGAU
rnacentral:hammerhead_ribozyme from 1 species